rnacentral:rRNA from 1 species
UAGUGUCUUGGACUACCUGGCUUUAAGGAAUAACGGAGGAUUAGGGUUCGAUUCCGGGGAGGGAGCCUGAGAAACGGCUACCACAUCUAAGGAAGGCAGCAGGCGCGUAAAUUACCCAAUCCUGACUCAGGGAGGUAGUGACAAGAAAUAACGGACCGAAGCCUAUGGUUUCGGGAUUGCAAUGAGUAGAAUUUAAACCCCUUUACGAGGAUCAAUUGGAGGGCAAGUCUGGUGCCAGCAGCCGCGGUAAUUCCAGCUCCAAUAGCGUAUAUUAAAGUUGUUGCAGUUAAAAAGCUCGUAGUUGGAUUUCUGGGAGGGUGCCAAUGUCCGCUCGUUCGCGUGUGCAGCGGCGCCCUUCCAUCCUUCUGUUAACGUUUCUUGGUAUUCAGUUACUGGUUUCGGGCUCAGAUAUUUUACCUUGAGAAAAUUAGAGUGUUUCAGGCAGGCUUGCGCCGGAAUACAUUAGCAUGGAAUAAUAGAAUAGGACUUUAGUCUCCUUUGUUGGUUCGAGGGACUGAAGUAAUGAUUAAUAGGGAUAGUUGGGGGCAUUAGUAUUUAAUUGUCAGAGGUGAAAUUCUCGGAUUUGUUAAAGACUAACUUAUGCGAAAGCAUUUGCCAAGGAUGUUUUCAUUAAUCAAGAACGAAAGUUAGGGGAUCAAAGACGAUC